AUUGAACGCUGGCGGCAUGCCUUACACAUGCAAGUCGAACGGUAACAGGUCUUCGGAUGCUGACGAGUGGCGAACGGGUGAGUAAUACAUCGGAACGUGCCUAGUAGUGGGGGAUAACUACUCGAAAGAGUGGCUAAUACCGCAUGAGAUCCACGGAUGAAAGCAGGGGAUCGCAAGACCUUGUGCUACUAGAGCGGCCGAUAGCAGAUUAGGUAGUUGGUGGGAUAAAAGCUUACCAAGCCGACGAUCUGUAGCUGGUCUGAGAGGACGAUCAGCCACACUGGGACUGAGACACGGCCCAGGCUCCUACGGGAGGCAGCAGUGGGGAAUUUUGGACAAUGGGCGCAAGCCUGAUCCAGCAAUGCCGCGUGCAGGAUGAAGGCCUUCGGGUUGUAAACUGCUCUUGUACGGAACGAAAAGCCCCGGGUUAAUACCCUGGGGUCAUGACGGUACCGUAAGAAUAAGCACCGGCUAACUACGUGCCAGCCGCCGCCGUAA
rnacentral:rRNA from 1 species